CGAUACGUAAUGUGAAUUGCUUUCCGUGAAUCAUUGAAUCUUUGAACGCAUAUUGCACUCCUUUGGAGUAUGCCUGUUUGAGAAUCCG
rnacentral:rRNA from 1 species